rnacentral:RNase_P_RNA from 1 species
CGGAGGAGAUCGAACGACCGCUCUCCGUCAUUGGAGAGAGGAAAGUCCGGACUCCCGGGGACGGGAUGGCCGUUAACGACGGCCCCGAGCGAUCGGGGGAAAGUGCCACAGAAAGGAGACCGCCGCGGCGGGCUCGGCUUCGGGUCCGCCCAGGCAAGGGUGAAAGGGCGAGGUAAGAUCUCGCUCCACCGGGGCGUGAGCUCCGGUGCGGACAAACCCCAUCCGGAGCAAGACCGAAUAGGAGGGCUCCUCUCUCGGCGUGAUCUUCGGGUCACCUGAGAGCCGGCCAGUCCCUACCGGAGGGGCCCUCGGGUAUGGUCGCAUGAUCCCGUCGGCAACGACGGGACCAGAGGAAUGGUCGUUGCCCCCGGUUGUUUGCCGGGGGGACAGAAUCCGGCUUACAGAUCCCUCCGCUCU